GACGAACGCUGGCGGCGUGCUUAACACAUGCAAGUCGAACGGAAAGGCCCUGCUUUUGUGUGGUGCUCGAGUGGCGAACGGGUGAUUAACACGUGCGUAACCUGCCCUUGACUUUGGGAUAACUUCAGGAAACUUGGUCUCAUACCGGAUAUGAGCUCCUGCUGCAUGGUGGGUGUUGGAAAGUUUCGGCGGUUGGGGAUGGACUCGCGGCUUAUCAGCUUGUUGGUGGGGUAGUGGCUUACCAAGGCUUUGACGGGUAGCCGGCCUGAGAGGGUGACCGGCCACAUUGGGACUGAGAUACGGCCAAGACGCAUACGGGAGGCAGCAGUGGGGAAUAUUGCACAAUGGGCGGAAGCCUGAUGCAGCAACGCCGCGUGCGGGAUGACGGCCUUAGGGUUGUAAACCGCUUUCGCCUGUGACGAAGCGUGAGUGACGGUAAUGGGUAAAGAAGCACCGGCUAACUACGUG
rnacentral:rRNA from 1 species